rnacentral:rRNA from 1 species
CGAGGCAGNGCAAAACCCUAAAAAAUGGUCUCAGUUCGGAUCGCAGGCUGCAACCCGCCUGCGUGAAGCUGGAAUUGCUAGUAAUCGCGGAUCAGCAUGCCGCGGUGAAUACGUUCCCGGGCCUUGUACACACCGCCCGUCACACCAUGGAAGUCGGUAAUGCCCGAAGUCAGUAGCCUAACCGCAAGGGGGGCGCUGCCGAAGGCAGGAUUGAUAACUGGGGUGAAGUCGUAACAAGGUAGC